GACGAACGCUGGCGGCGUGCUUAACACAUGCAAGUCGAGCGGUAAGGCCCUUUCGGGGGUACGACGAGCGGCGAACGGGUGAGUAACACGUGGGUGACCUGCCUUUAGUCUCUGGGAGUAAGCCUGGGAAACGUGGGUCUAAUACCGGAUAUGACUCCGCGGUGCAUGCUGUGGGGUGGAAAGCCUUGUGCGGCUGGAGAUGGGCCCGCGGCCUAUCAGCUUGUUGGUGGGGUGAUGGCCUACCAAGG
rnacentral:rRNA from 1 species